UAAGACGAAGGUGGCGAGCGUUGUUCGGAAUCACUGGGCUUAAAGAGCGCGUAGGCGGAGUGGACAGUGUCCUGUGAAAGCCCCCGGCUUAACCGGGGAAUUGCGGGGCAUACUGCCACUCUUGAGGCAAGUAGGGGUGCAUGGAACUCUUGGUGGAGCGGUGGAAUGCGUAGAUAUCAAGAGGAACGCCGAAGGAGAAAUCAGUGCACUGGGCUUGUUCUGACGCUGAGGCGCGAAAGCGUGGGGAGCAAACGGGAUUAGAUACCCCGGUAGUCCACGCCGUAAACGAUGUCUACUAGGUUGUGGUUGUUCUGACACAGGCACAGCCGAAGCAAAAGUGUUAAGUAGACCGCCUGGGGAGUACGGCCGCAAGGCUA
rnacentral:rRNA from 1 species